UAGUAUAAGCAUUAUACCGUGAAACUGCGAAUGGCUCAUUAAAUCAGUUAUCGUUUAUUUGAUAGUACCUUACUACAUGGAUAACCGUGGUAAUUCUAGAGCUAAUACAUGCUAAAAACCCCAACUUCGGGAGGGGUGUAUUUAUUAGAUAAAAAACCAACGCCCUUUCGGGGCUUCUUGGUGAUUCAUAAUAACUUUACGGAUCGCAUGGCCUUGCGCCGGGCGACGGUUCAUUCAAAUUUCUGCCCUAUCAACUUUCGAUGGUAAGGUAUUGGCUUACCAUGGUUUCAACGGGUAACGGGGAAUUAGGGUUCGAUUCCGGAGAGGGAGCCUGAGAAACGGCUACCACAUCCAAGGAAGGCAGCAGGCGCGCAAAUUACCCAAUCCCGACACGGGGAGGUAGUGACAAUAAAUACUGAUACAGGGCUCUUUUGGGUCUUGUAAUUGGAAUGAGUACAAUUUAAACCUCUUAACGAGGAACAAUUGGAGGGCAAGUCUGGUGCCAGCAGCCGCGGUAAUUCCAGCUCCAAUAGCGUAUAUUAAAGUUGUUGCAGUUAAAAAGCUCGUAGUUGAAACUUGGGUCUGGCUGGCAGGUCCGCCUCACCGCGUGUACUUGUCCGGCCGGGCCUUCCUUCUGGAGAACCUCAUGCCCUUCACUGGGCGUGUUGGGGACCAGGACUUUUACUUUGAAAAAAUUAGAGUGUUCAAAGCAGGCCUUUGCUCGAAUACGUUAGCAUGGAAUAAUAGAAUAGGACGUGCGGUCCUAUUUUGUUGGUUUCUAGGACCGCCGUAAUGAUUAAUAGGGACAGUCGGGGGCAUCAGUAUUCAAUUGUCAGAGGGUGAAAUUCUUGGAUUUAUUGAAGACUAACUACUGCGAAAGCAUUUGCCAAGGAUGUUUUCAUUAAUCAGUGAACGAAAGUUAGGGGAUCGAAGACGAUCAGAUACCGUCGUAGUCUUAACCGUAAACUAUGCCGACUAGGGAUCGGGCGAUGUUCUUUUUCUGACUCGCUCGGCACCUUACGAGAAAUCAAAGUUUUUGGGUCUGGGGGGA
rnacentral:rRNA from 1 species